GUAGGUGAACCUGCGGAGGGAUCAUUAACGAAAGGUCGCAAGACCUAGACCCUCCAAACCUGUGGAAGCGAGACGUGCUUCGGCAGAGUCGCUCUUGACCUGCCGCAUUUAUGCUGUCCGGUGUUUGUGUCUGAAUCAAAAAAGAAUCAAAACUUUCAACAAAGGAUCUCUUGGCUCUCGCAUCGAUGAAGAACGCAGCAUCUGACUGACUUCAGUAC
rnacentral:misc_RNA from 1 species